CAGAUGAUCAGUCUUUCUACAAACAUGUCUGAAGUCCAGCAGCUGAGGGACACGUUGAAACUACAGCAAACACCUACUGAUGAGGGAACGAUCACAGACCAGGAAGAAGAAAUGUGUCAUUUAAAAGAAGAGAACAAAAGAGACAUGCAGCCGUUGUUGGUGAUUAAAGAAGAAACUCUCCCUGAACACCAGGAA